CAAUUUUUUACCUGCACCGACCUUAACCUCGCCGGCUCAACCCCACUAACUAUUGGUGGGGGCCGGGCUGCGGUAAGUUUGCACCGGUGGGAGAAAAAAACAAGAAAAGAAACGUCUUCUUUUGCAAAAAUUGGCAUGAACUGAACUGAAGCCCCUUUGCCUCUGAUACCAGUGAGCAAAAAUGGCUUCAACCCAUCUUCUUCCUCAGAGUUCAAUUCUCUACAAUUCUUUCAACAAUUCAACCAAAAGAAGUAAUUUUUCUGCAUUUCGGAUACAUGGGUCUCCUUCAAUUACCCAAAAGUUCAAUCUUCGAAAGCACCCAUCUUUCAAAACCAUGUGUUCUAUUGACCCACAAUCUGAAAGAAAAAAACAAGUAGAGAUAGUAUUUGACCCAGAAGAAAGAUUUAACAAAUUAGCUGAUAAAGUGGAUAAGGAAGCUGGUCUUUCAAGGCUCACUCUUUUUUCACCUUGUAAGGUGAAUGUGUUUUUGAGAAUAACUGGAAAAAGAGACGAUGGAUACCAUGAUUUAGCAUCUCUAUUUCAUGUAAUAAGUUUGGGGGAUAAAAUUAAGUUCUCUUUGUCACCUUCAAAGAUCAAGGAUAGUCUAUCAACAAAUGUGGGUGGAGUUCCUCUUGAUGAUAGAAAUCUGAUAAUCAAAGCCCUAAAGUUGUAUCGGCAAAAGACUGGCAGCAACAAGUAUUUUUGGAUUCAUCUUGAUAAGAAGGUUCCUACAGGAGCCGGGCUUGGUGGAGGAAGUAGCAAUGCUGCUACUGCACUUUGGGCAGCGAAUCAAUUCAGUGGUGGGAUUGCGACAGAGAAGGAACUUCAAGAAUGGUCAAGUGAAAUAGGUUCUGAUAUUCCUUUUUUCUUCUCUCGGGGAGCAGCAUAUUGUACUGGCAGGGGUGAGGUAGUUAAAGAUAUUCCACCACCUAUACCUUUGGACACUCCAAUGGUCCUAAUAAAGCCUCAAGAAGCAUGCUCCACUGCUCAUGUUUACAAGACCUUUCGUUUGGAUCAAACUCGCGAGGUUGAUCCGUUAUCUUUGCUGGAGAAAAUUUCGAAAGAAGGAAUCUCUCAAGAUGUCUGUAUCAAUGAUUUGGAGUCCCCUGCAUUUGAAGUGCUUCCAGGUCUGCGAAGAUUAAAACAGCGCAUAAUUGCAGCCAGCCGUGGACAGUAUGAUGCUGUUUUUAUGUCUGGAAGUGGAAGCACUAUUGUUGGGAUUGGUUCUCCUGAUCCACCACAGUUUAUCUACGAUGAUGAAGCAUACAAGGAUGUCUUCUUAUCUGAGGCUACCUUCAUCACCCGAGAAGAGAACCAAUGGUAUUCAGAACCUUCUUCAAGUAGUUCUGCCGACUCAGUCGCUGAGUUUUCCCGUCCACUUAGUGAUGGAAUUACACAGUAAACGUGAUGAUUUUACAGAAAUACCGGGACAUGUCUUCUUGCUGCUUCAGUUAACUUUGAGGUGAACUUUCCGAAAGAAAGAAUAUUUCAUUGUAUAGAGCAAACGGAAAACCUAUCAUUUUACUGUUGAAUGAAGGUUAUGCUUUUGGAGAUCUCCUUGAGGCUCUGAUGAAGGAUGUCUAAUGAAUAACAGAAUUAGACAAGAAAAGUAAAUAACUUCAGAUGACCGCAAACAACGUUAGUGAAACAAACGAGUGUGCUUAGUUGGCAAAAGAUGAAUCUCUCAAAAGAUUGAAAGUGACAAGUAAAAUGACAGGCAUUAUUAUGUAGUUGAAUGUUGAGUAUUCAAUCUCCAUCAUCAAUACUUGUGGACAAUCCGUUUGCUAUGUUCAAACUUGAGGUGCUCGUGGUGGAUGAAUUCCUCAGCUUCAGCAUCAACAUCUUCUUCUUUUUGCUUCUUUUGAGCACCAUUCUUAUGGUUUCUCUGUAUGAACUUUUCAGCAUCAGAAUCAAUAUUGUCUGCAUAUUUGAUAUACCCACUUUGAUCCUUUGGAGGUUCAUCUUUGUGCUUCUUCUUCGGCAUUGAGAAUAGGUGCGCGAAAUAAGAAUCACUUUCAUUCAAGUUAUUCAUUUUGGUAGCUGAUGAUUUUGUUGUAGAUGAUGAUUUUGUUUUUGAGUCACAGACUUCUAAAUCUAAUUAUAUGAAGUAAUUUUUAGAUGACUGACUGUGCUCCCUUUGAACAGAAUCGUAUUCCUUUCUGACUUUUUUUGCAUGUGCAACUGAGUUUCUAUUGCUGAUGGCAGCUGUGAUCGAUGCAGAUCUUGUUUAAGAAUUGGUUUAUUAUCUGAAGAUUCUUUGAUGCAAGACUUUUGUUUUAUGUUCUUUUGUUUUAGGAACAUUAUUAUUACCUUUCCCCUUGUUCAUCAACUGAUAAACUUUUGUGCAUUAGCUGAUUUAUUUGAAUUCGCUUGUGGAUCUUUCACUAUU